GAGGAGAGUGGUGUGUUAAACAAGCAUUUGUUUGUUCACACCACAAGUGACGCUGAGUUCCUGGCCGACCUUCAGCCAUGAAGAUCCUUUUCCAGAUCUUUGCUGUUGUCUUCUUAGUGCUCAUGGCUGUGCCAGCAUUCUCCCAGGCUCAGCUGACUCGGUGGCAAUGCAGGCGGCGUGGGGGUGACUGUUACAAUCCGGUAUGUCCCUUCAUUUCCAGACUCAUUGGAAGAUGCAUUCCAUUUGGCCACUGCUGUCAAACGAGACUGCGUGUCUGAGAGGCAGCCACUUGCUUCUAAAGUCAUUGGAUCCUGCUUCAACGGAACCCUGAAAAGCAGUUCAUUUCAGCUGGAAAGAACCUUGUGAGCUGGAGAAAUUCCAGAAGGGAGCCUUGUAUCACCCA